AGGGAUUCCAACUGCCUUCUCUUCUACAUUCCUUCCUUCUCUUUCUCUCUCAUCCAAAGUGAUAGCUGCUCUUUUGCCCGUCUAGAACACCCUUCCCUCAUUCCAAUCCCCAUCAGAGGACCAUGCUGCUUAAUGUCACUGAUCAAAGGACUGUCAUUGGAAGGACCGGACCAAAUCACCUUGCCAUCUGCCCUGCAAUGAAUCCCUCCUUGUCCAUCUGCCUUCUUUCUGAAAUUCCCUAAUACAUCUCCUUCCAGGAAUAUCAACUCACCUGCAAGUGAGCAAGAUUCUGGAGCUACUGAGACAAAUGCAGCAAUCCUUGCCAUCAAGGAGCCUCC
rnacentral:lncRNA from 1 species